GACGAACGCUGGCGGCAGGCCUAAAACAUGCAAGUCGAACGCCCUAGCAAUAGGGAGUGGCGCACGGGUGAGUAACAUGUGGGAAUAUGCCUUUUGGUACGGAACAACGUUUGGAAACGAACGCUAAUACCGUAUGGUCCCUCCGGGGUAAAGAUUUAUCGCCAAAAGAUUAGCCCGCACUAGAUUAGCUAGUUGGUAAGGUAAUGGCUUACCAAGGCGACGAUCUAUAGCUGUUCUGAGAGGAAGAUCAGCCACACUGGGACUGAGACACGGCCCAGACUCCUACGGGAGGCAGCAGUUAGGAAUAUUGGACAAUGGGCGCAAGCCUGAUCCAGCCAUGCCGCGUGAGUGAUGAAGGCCCUAGGGUUGUAAAGCUCUUUCACCGGUGAAGAUAAUGACGGUAACCGGAGAAGAAGCCCCGGCUAACUUCGUGCCAGCAGCCGCCGCCG
rnacentral:rRNA from 1 species